CAGUCGCCGCGGGAAUACGUAGGGUGCAAGCGUUAAUCGGAAUUACUGGGCGUAAAGCGUGCGCAGGCGGUUCUAUAAGACAGAUGUGAAAUCCCCGGGCUCAACCUGGGAACUGCAUUUGUGACUGUAGAGCUGGAGUGCGGCAGAGGGGGAUGGAAUUCCGCGUGUAGCAGUGAAAUGCGUAGAUAUGCGGAGGAACACCGAUGGCGAAGGCAAUCCCCUGGGCCUGCACUGACGCUCAUGCACGAAAGCGUGGGGAGCAAAUGGGAUUAGAUACCCGAGUAGUCCCUGUCUCUUAUAC
rnacentral:rRNA from 1 species